GAUGAACGCUGGCGGCGUGCCUAAUACAUGCAAGUCGAGCGAACAGAUGAGGAGCUUGCUCCUCUGACGUUAGCGGCGGACGGGUGAGUAACACGUGGAUAACCUACCUAUAAGACUGGGAUAACUUCGGGAAACCGGAGCUAAUACUGGAUAAUAUAUUGAACCGCAUGGUUCAAUAGUGAAAGACGGUUUUGCUGUCACUUAUAGAUGGAUCCGCGCCGCAUUAGCUAGUUGGUAAGGUAACGGCUUACCAAGGCAACGAUGCGUAGCCGACCUGAGAGGGUAAUCGGCCACACUGGAACUGAGACACGGUCCAGACUCCUACGGGAGGCAGCAGUAGGGAAUCUUCCGCAAUGGGCGAAAGCCUGACGGAGCAACGCCGCGUGAGUGAUGAAGGUCUUCGGAUCGUAAAACUCUGUUAUUAGGGAAGAACAAAUGUGUAAGUAACUAUGCACGUCUUGACGGUACCUAAUCAGAAAGCCACGGCUAACUACGUG
rnacentral:rRNA from 1 species